rnacentral:rRNA from 1 species
GUGGGGAAUCUUCCGCAAUGGGCGAAAGCCUGACGGAGCAACGCCGCGUGAGUGAAGACGGCCUUCGGGUUGUAAAGCUCUGUUAUAUGGGACGAACGGAUACGGUGCUAAUACCACCGUAUCGUGACGGUACUGUAAGAGAAAGCCACGGCUAACUACGUGCCAGCAGCCGCGGUAAUACGUAGGUGGCAAGCGUUGUCCGGAAUUAUUGGGCGUAAAGGGCGUGCAGGCGGCCAGGCAAGUCUGUCUUAAAAGUGCGGGGCUUAACCCCGGGAUGGGAUGGAAACUGUCAGGAUAGAGUGUCGGAGAGGAAAGCGGAAUUCCUAGGGUAGCGGUGAAAUGCGUAGAUAUUAGGAGGAACACCAGUGGCGAAAGCGGCUUUCUGGACGACAACUGACGCUGAGGCGCGAAAGCCAGGGGAGCAAACGGGAUUAGAAACCCGAGUAGUCC